rnacentral:rRNA from 1 species
GUGCCAGCCGCCGCGGUAAUACGUAGGGUGCGAGCGUUAAUCGGAAUUACUGGGCGUAAAGCGUGCGCAGGCGGUUUGGUAAGACAGGCGUGAAAUCCCCGGGCUUAACCUGGGAACUGCGUUUGUGACUGCCAGGCUAGAGUACGGCAGAGGGGGGUGGAAUUCCACGUGUAGCAGUGAAAUGCGUAGAGAUGUGGAGGAACACCAAUGGCGAAGGCAGCCCCCUGGGUCGAUACUGACGCUCAUGCACGAAAGCGUGGGUAGCAAACAGGAUUAGAUACCACGGGAGUAC